rnacentral:miRNA from 1 species
AGUUAGCAUUGGUCGUCUCUAUG